rnacentral:miRNA from 1 species
AUGUACCUUGUUGACCGGAAGGUUUUCCUUCCAGUCAACAAGGCACAUGUACCUGGUUGACAGGAAGGAAACCCUUCCAGUUGGCAAGGCACAU